rnacentral:miRNA from 1 species
GGCCAAGGUCCCAUGGCAGGC